rnacentral:misc_RNA from 1 species
UCUAGAGCGCCUCGUGCGGAGCAACCCCGAAGUGGGUAUCAAGAUAAUACGCGUGCUGAGCGAGCGACUGCGCCAGUGCGAAACCCGCCUGGAGGACGUCACCCUUAAAGAUAUUCCCGCACGCCUGGCGAGCCUCAUCCUCCAACUAGCCGCGAGCGAGGGCAUUAUGGUCCCCGAGGGCCCUCGUAUACCUACCCAUUACACCCACCGGCAAUUAGCGACGAUGAUCGGCUCCAGCCGCGAGACCGUCACCAGGGCCUUCACCAA